UCGACUCGGUAUCGAUGGCGACACUACGAACAGUAGUGUUGGAGGCAGCUUGACGAAAGUCAGCUCUGCAUAAGCAGCAAACAGAUCAGAGAUCUGGGGUGCCUCGCAAGAACUCAACAUUUCGCCGCCCCGAUGCACAGAUACCAGUCG
rfam:Lasius niger Lnig_2.1_28133, whole genome shotgun sequence.